rfam:Corchorus capsularis cultivar CVL-1 contig14301, whole genome shotgun sequence.
UUGGGUGGAGUAGAGCUCUCUGAAGUCCAAUAGAGGUUCUUGCAGGGUUGAUUAAGCUGCUAAGCUAUGGAUCCCAAAGCCCUAUCCCAUGUUUGCUUGGAAAAGGAUAGGCUUGCGGCUUCCAUAUCUCAGGAGCCUACAUUACCCUUAAGUUAGAUCCUUGUUUGGAUUGAAGGGAGCUCUACAUCUCUCUUCU